GAAACGCGAUAGGUAAUGUGAAUUGCAGAAUUCAGUGAAUCAUCGAAUCUUUGAACGCACCUUGCGCUCCUUGGUAUUCCGAGGAGCAUGCCUGUUUGAGUGUCAUGAAUCCCUCAAAUCCCAAUGUUUUGUAAAAUUCAUUGCUUGGAUUUGGUUGUGGGCCUUCUUGCUGUUGCAAUACACAGCUGGCCUAAAAGAGAUUAGCUGGACUAUCCGACUCUUGGUAGUUUCCACUUGAUGUGAUAAAAUUGCAUCGGUGGGUCAAAGACUGCCAUAGGAAUGUGAAAGUCUGCUUCAAAUUCGGCGCGAGGUUCCAUCCUCAACCCAUUCAUUUACAUCUCUGGCCUCAAAUCAGGUAGGAUUACCCGCUGAACUUAA
rnacentral:misc_RNA from 1 species